rnacentral:rRNA from 1 species
ACGCUCGACACCUACGGGGGCAGCAGUCGGGAAUAUUGCGCAAUGGAGGAAACUCUGACGCAGUGACGCCGCGUAUAGGAAGAAGGUUUUCGGAUUGUAAACUAUUGUCGUUAGGGAAGAAAAAAGACAGUACCUAAGGAGGAAGCUCCGGCUAACUACGUGCCAGCAGCCGCGGUAAUCUGAGCGGGCUGGCAAGGC